GACGAACGCUGGCGGCGUGCCUAAUACAUGCCAGUUGAGCGCUGAAGGUUGGUACUUGUACCAACUGGAUGAGCAGCGAACGGGUGAGUAACGCGUGGGGAAUCUGCCUUUGAGCGGGGGACAACAUUUGGAAACGAAUGCUAAUACCGCAUAAAAACUUUAAACACAAGUUUUAAGUUUGAAAGAUGCAAUUGCAUCACUCAAAGAUGAUCCCGCGUUGUAUUAGCUAGUUGGUGAGGUAAAGGCUCACCAAGGCGAUGAUACAUAGCCGACCUGAGAGGAUGAUCGGCCACAUUGGGACUGAGACACGGCCCAAACUCCUACGGGAGGCAGCAGUAGGGAAUCUUCGGCAAUGGACGAAAGUCUGACCGAGCAACGCCGCGUGAGUGAAGAAGGUUUUCGGAUCGUAAAACUCUGUUGGUAGAGAAGAACGUUGGUGAGAGUGGAAAGCUCAUCAAGUGACGGUAACUACCCAGAAAGGGACGGCUAACUACGUG
rnacentral:rRNA from 1 species